UACGUAGGGUGCGAGCGUUAAUCGGAAUUACUGGGCGUAAAGCGUGCGCAGGCGGUUUUGUAAGCCAGAUGUGAAAUCCCCAGGCUCAACCUGGGAACUGCAUCCGAUACUGGAUGGCUUGAAUCCGGGAGAGGGAUGCAGAAUUCCAGGUGUAGCGGUGAAAUGCGUAGAUAUCUGGAGGAAUACCGGUGGCGAAGGCGGCAUCCUGGACCGGCAUUGACGCUGAGGAGCGAAAGCUAGGGGAGCAAACGGG
rnacentral:rRNA from 1 species